AAGGAGCAGCUGAAGAGGAUGCAGUGACCAGUGGAAGGACACGCAGCAUGUCCUGUAUUGUGAGAAAAGGAGCAGGAGCUGAAAAAGCGAGGCCAGUCUUACAACUCACUGGACUUCUGGCAAGAAUCCCUCCCCAGAACCAACCCUAAUUGCUGACCUGAGUUAUACACAUUCAAGAGAGAAGUAGAAGGUUUUCAUUACAAGUCAUCUAACUCUGCAGGAGUUUGGCUUUGAAAACCCCCUGAAAAGGACUCAUGUGAAUAAAGCGGGGCCAUUCUCAUUGAAGCACUUGGUAAGUGUCCCUUAUGAUCAAUCAUUAGACACAGUCAUUGCUCAGCUUUAGCCCAUGGCCAAAAUAGAAGCAACUGUUCAUCUGAUUUCUCCACUUCUCCCAUCAGACUUGUUCGAUUGGUGGGUCUGAAUAAUCCUCUUCCUUCUCUGCCUCAUCUUUCUUCGAGGGUUAGGAAUAAAAAAGUGUAUCAAGGUUAAACUAAAUGCUAGAUAAGGUAUGUGACACAACCUUGUAAUCUAGCCUUCCCCCCCCCAUUGAUGGAAUCAGUCCAUGAAGAAGAGCCUUCGCCAUGUAUGCACCAAGGCUGGCCAGGAUGAAAAGUGCUAGGAGGAGUUUCCGCCCUAGCUCAGUGGGUUAAGAAUCUGAC
rnacentral:lncRNA from 1 species